GAUGAAGGCAGACUAAGAAUGACUUCAGAUAUUGACCUAUGAUUUAGAAGUAAUAGAUGUUCUGCAAAAUUUUCAAGGGUUAAUACAAUUUUUCAUUUUGAACCAACUUUGCAAGGAAGAGUGCACAAAUUUUCCAUUGAAAAGCCUACUGAUCUCCUUUAUGGUAAAAGAUUUGCAAAUUUUCAAUUCUAUCCAAUUCUGUAAAUUUUAUCAAUUUGCUCCGUGUUCUUCUGGAUUUGUAACAAUUUUAUCCAACAGUUGAGGGGCAUGUGCAAUUGAUGAUGUGUCAUCAUGGUUUUAAAUAAUAGAAGUUACGUAACAUAACGGUCAUUAUUUGUAACUUUUUGGGACUAACGUUACCAAUAGUACCUUUAAAAUAACAGUCAAAAAAUUAUAAUAGGAAUGGCCAUUAUGCAUUCGAUACCCACAUGGGCAAAUGGAUUCUUUUUAUUUGUGACGCAGAGAGACAAAAAGAUUAUUUUGUUUUUAGUUUCUAUACUUCUCCAUCUAUUUCUCUCAUUUCCAUCUUCAC
rnacentral:misc_RNA from 1 species